rnacentral:tRNA from 1 species
GUUAGUGUAGCAAAGCCUGGCAUUGCAAAAGACCUAAACCCUUCACGCAGAGAUUCAAAUCCUCUCACUAACU